CUUCCCCUCCCCUAACUAGCAGAAGGAGAUGGCGCUCCCUCCCAGAUCCGCCAGCGUUGUCAGACCCGAUCUGGUUUUGUGAAGGAAGGGGCAUGCCAUGGAGAAGAUCCCGCGGGCAUCAGAUCAUCCAUGGCGGCCUAGGAGGAGCACCACCGGCUCAGGUUGCUCCGAUCUGACUGUGUGAAGGGAACUAGAAAGGCCGAUCUACUGCUGCUGCUCUGCCCCCCUUGAACAAUCUGGUGAAGGACAAGUUGAUCCAUGGAAUUUUGAGCAGAUUCUUUAGCUGUUAUUUUGGUCGUGUGCUUUCAGUGGUUGGUUUGGUCGUGUGCUAGAGCCUAAUUAGCUAUAGGAACAAUUUAUACUUUACUUAAAGAUGUUACUGUUGUGUUGUAGAAAAUUUUAUUUAUGUCUAUUGUUUUGUCCAGAUUAGAAAUAUGUGUGAUGUGUGCUUUCAAAAACUAAUGCUAUAUGUAGGCUUAAGAAAUUGAGCAAGGGAAACCAUUAUAUCCCCUUCCUUGUUUUAUAAACUAAAAUUCCGUCGGAUCAUACUAUGUCAAGUAACGGUUCUUUAUUCUGUGUUAUGGCAAAAGAAAAUAUGAUUGAAACAAUUUUGGCACAAGUCUGGUAUUCAUAUGAACCAUGAUGAGAAGUAGUACUCGUUCAGUAGAGAGCUAUAAAUAUAAGUCAAAAUACCUGUGAAACAAGAUUUUAAAGGCUUCCAAUAUCUGAACAUCAAAGCUUAGUUGAUGUUGCAUUCUUUACUCUUGUCAAUUGUCUGACUGCAGAGAAACAAACACAUGAGAAAAGUUUCAGGUUGGCCACAUUGACAGUAUAAGGAAUUUGCCACAGCUUAUUACUCCCUGUUCUAUCAUAGGAUUCUCUAUCAGUCCUCUUCCGUCGUAGGAAUUUGCCACAACUACCAUGAAUUGCCAUGUCUCUUUAUACCAGUUUUAGCGAUCAGCCGUAGCUCUUUCAUCAAAGUUGCAUGGUGCAUGGUCAACAGAGGACAAGCGCUUCAUGUCCAACCAAGGUGCAUGGUGCUCGCAAUUGACGAAUAGAGGCUGUUCGACAUCGGCUACACAAACCACCACUGUGAGCUCCUCCCUUUCCUCUGCUACAACCAU